GUUCUUUUACGACGGAGCCUAAGAUAUUCUUUGUCUUGUCGGUGAGUGAGUUACAGUCGGAUGACCAAGUGAAAUAUAGGGGUGCAACGAGGAUUUGGAGGCUUCUGAGACUUGAACUUAGGGUACUGGUGUAAACUUCCUCGGAGAAGUGCGCAGCAGCUAAUGAUAUUUCGGGAUUGGAGUCUGGGCCCCAGUGAGAUUCGUACUAAGCGGCCUGACUGAAGGCCGCAUGCGUUCUAGUUCCUGAGUCCCCGCGUGGGUAGGUUUUUACAGCAGGGUUUGCAGCCUUUUGUGCUGUUCCGAAGGUACUAGAGUCACCGAAAGAGACAUCCUAUUAUAUGCACGUUCACAAGGACAAUGGCGCCAUUGUUCUUCGCGUCUUCAAAGCAGCUACAAGAAGAAACCAAGAUGGAGGGGAGCCCAAAGCAUCUGAGAGAAUUGAUAAAUGAAAGAAACAUGCUUAAAACAUGACCGUUUUAAAGGUGAAUGCUGACCAGUGAGAUGCCAGCCUGCGUGUGAAGAUCCUACAGCAGAAGUGCAUGGCCAGUGACACAAGAACUUGCGAGAGAUGCCAGUCCGCCUGUGAAGAUCCUGCAGCAGGAGUGCAUAGCCAGUGACACAAGACGUGCGAAUGAAAACUAGAUGUGACCAUCCAGAAAAAGCAUAGACAAAAAAAUGCAGUCUUAGUACUGGGAUGUUUGAGAUGGGGUCUAUCUACAUGUCUCUAGCUGUCCCUAUCAGGACAGCAUCUGGUGUGGCCUGCAGAGUUGAUUCCUGUACUUUUUUUUUUUUGUGGGCUGUAUGUAAAUGGAUUGUUUUGACAAUCCAUUCGACAGUGUUCUCUUCUGUGAAGGUCAUAGGUGAGCUGAUUGACAGACACAGCUGUACAGACUGAAUGCAAUCCUGACUAUAAAGCUGCAGUUCAUCAUUAUGAGCUAUUUCCUUAUUCUGGCAGUGAUUGAAAUAAAAUGGGGAGUAUUGAAAUAAAAAACAUUCAAUUGCAA
rnacentral:lncRNA from 1 species